rnacentral:rRNA from 1 species
CAAUAGCGUAUAUUAAAGUUGUUGCAGUUAAAAAGCUCGUAGUUGGAUUUCUGGUGGGAGCGAUCGGUCUGGCGCUUAGCGCGAGUACUUGCAUCGUCUCCGGCCAUCCUUGGGGAAAGUCUGUCUGGCAUUAAGUUGUCGGGCAGAGGAUCCUCAUCGUUUACUGUGAAAAAAUUAGAGUGUUCAAAGCAGGCUUAUGCCGUUGAAUAUAUUAGCAUGGAAUAAUAAGAUAGGACUUUGGUACUAUUUUGUUGGUUUGCGCACCAAAGUAAUGAUUAAUAGGGACAGUUGGGGGUAUUCGUAUCCCGUUGUCAGAGGUGAAAUUCUUGGAUUUACGGAAGACGAACUACUGCGAAAGCAUUUACCAAGGAUGUUUUCAUUAA